rnacentral:lncRNA from 1 species
UUUCCAGACAUCUGGUUCUUGGUGCCAGGAUACCACUGAAACGGAGCCACAGGAUGACACCCUCCCCACCCCACCCCCACCCCAACCCUGUCCUCCCCAUGGGACGUAGCCAACAAUUCAAAUCUGGCCCACAGUAGUACUGGUCAUAAUCUGUCUGUCAACGCUGAUCGUGGGUAGAUCCGGCAGAGAUAGUUCUCUACUUGGCAUGCUGGUGUUGUGUGGCUCUAAAGAACUGCCUAGGUAUGGAUGGGAUCCAGCUUUGUGUCACAGAGGAAAUGGACUCCAGUUUCCUGGCUUGACACUGAGGGCUGAACCCUAGGCCCAGAAGAAAUCCAGAGUUGGAUUAGAAGUCUAGCUGGUAGCUGGUCGCCUAUACUGCACUUGGAUGAGGGCGAAAGGCAGCAGGAGAGGCACUCAGUGCCCCAUUCCCAGACGAGGAGGGCUUCUCUCAGCCCUCUCCUCACUGUCUCUCAGCCUGGCCACACAAACCUAUUGGAGGCUACAAGAAAGACAGAUGACAUCGAGGCAAGACCUAGAAGCCAGCCAGGAAAGCAGAGGAACAGCGCGCUGGGUAAAGGAGCAAAGCAAACCAAACAAAACAAGACUGGAGAGUGAAUACACAGCUCUCAGCUCAAAGGGGAUCAGGAAACUCUGAGUACAGAUGUUGACGGAAGUUGACCUUCGACCAAAACCUGUGCAUUCAGAAAGUACCGACCACAGCUUCCUCCCUGCAGAUGACUGCAGCCCGACACUGCUCCCUCACAGAGACCACCUAUGGAGAUAAGCUGAGCCGUCUCUUCAUCCGUGCUGUAUAUCAUAAACACAUUGAGCUUCAGGACUACUGCUUGUAUGUCUCCAUCUGAGUACAUGCCCACUGGGUCCCAGCCUUACAUAAUUUUUAUCUAUCUUAUUCUUCAUGGCCCCCAAUCUGAUCAAGACCAAAGCCAUGUGGGUUUCUGCAGGAAGUCCUUUCUGAAGGGAGUCAAGGGUGGUAGCAUAUUGAUAAUAUUGACAGAUGAUCACCAUUCCUAAGCAUGAUCAAUUCACCUCCUGCCUUCUAGACUCGGUGAUAGGGGAGGAGGCCGGGGCUCCUCUGGCAUCAGAUAAUCAGGAAGGGGUUUGAGAUAGCUGCCUUGUGUUUCCAGGCCAGCCCAUCUCAAAAUAAAGACAUUUUCUGC